CUUGACCGAUCCCAGCCACAGCGGGACUUCCCGGUCCUGCCCGUAGGUCGCCAGCAGCGCCUGCGCCUC
rnacentral:antisense_RNA from 1 species